UGAAUGAGAUUUUAACACGAAGUGAGUGGCGGACGGGUGAGUAACACGUGGGUAACCUGCCCAGAAGCAGGGGAUAACACCUGGAAACAGAUGCUAAUACCGUAUAACAGAGAAAACCGCCUGGUUUUCUUUUAAAAGAUGGCUCUGCUAUCACUUCUGGAUGGACCCGCGGCGCAUUAGCUAGUUGGUGAGGUAACGGCUCACCAAGGCGAUGAUGCGUAGCCGACCUGAGAGGGUAAUCGGCCACAUUGGGACUGAGACACGGCCCAGACUCCUACGGGAGGCAGCAGUAGGGAAUCUUCCACAAUGGACGCAAGUCUGAUGGAGCAACGCCGCGUGAGUGAAGAAGGGUUUCGGCUCGUAAAGCUCUGUUGUUAAAGAAGAACGUGGGUGAGAGUAACUGUUCACCCAGUGACGGUAUUUAACCAGAAAGCCACGGCUAACUACGUGCCAGCAGCCGCGGUAAUACGUAGGUGGCAAGCGUUAUCCGGAUUUAUUGGGCGUAAAGCGAGCGCAGGCGGUCUUUUAAGUCUAAUGUGAAAGCCUUCGGCUCAACCGAAGAAGUGCAUUGGAAACUGGGAGACUUGAGUGCAGAAGAGGACAGUGGAACUCCAUGUGUAGCGGUGAAAUGCGUAGAUAUAUGGAAGAACACCAGUGGCGAAGGCGGCUGUCUGGUCUGUAACUGACGCUGAGGCUCGAAAGCAUGGGUAGCGAACAGGAUUAGAUACCCUGGUAGUCCAUGCCGUAAACGAUGAUUACUAAGUGUUGGAGGGUUUCCGCCCUUCAGUGCUGCAGCUAACGCAUUAAGUAAUCCGCCUGGGGAGUACGACCGCAAGGUUGAAACUCAAAAGAAUUGACGGGGGCCCGCACAAGCGGUGGAGCAUGUGGUUUAAUUCGAAGCUACGCGAAGAACCUUACCAGGUCUUGACAUCUUCUGCCAACCUAAGAGAUUAGGCGUUCCCUUCGGGGACAGAAUGACAGGUGGUGCAUGGUUGUCGUCAGCUCGUGUCGUGAGAUGUUGGGUUAAGUCCCGCAACGAGCGCAACCCUUAUUACUAGUUGCCAGCAUUCAGUUGGGCACUCUAGUGAGACUGCCGGUGACAAACCGGAGGAAGGUGGGGACGACGUCAAAUCAUCAUGCCCCUUAUGACCUGGGCUACACACGUGCUACAAUGGAUGGUACAACGAGUUGCGAAACCGCGAGGUUUAGCUAAUCUCUUAAAACCAUUCUCAGUUCGGACUGUAGGCUGCAACUCGCCUACACGAAGUCGGAAUCGCUAGUAAUCGCGGAUCAGCAUGCCGCGGUGAAUACGUUCCCGGGCCUUGUACACACCGCCCGUCAC
rnacentral:rRNA from 1 species